GUACCUGCGGACCAACACAAGAAGAAGAACACGGUUAUGCUCCUCUAAGGUUAAUCUGAUCCUUCUCAAAAUGUCUCAGCAGAGAGUCGCUCCUGCCUGAAUGCCAAACUCGAGGAGACCUUGCUCUUGAAAAGUGACAAACCUUACAUCACUCCCUGCAUGGUCAGCCUAUCUGCACCGGUAGUGACCUCAUCGGACGGACACGGCUCCACCACCACCACCGCAUACUCUCAAAGCAACAUUGUCCGAGUAUCUGCCUUGUCGACGUCACGCUUAUUCGAUCGGCUAACUGGUGCUGAGGAGAGGGACCACUGAGCAUGAACCUGCCAUACUCUAGAGCAGGGGUGUCAAACUCAAUUGCACAGGGGGCCAAAAUUCAAAACACACUUCAGGUCGCGGGCUGAACAGAAUAAACAUUUAUUG